CUUUCUUAUGUGAUUUAUCUCCAUUUAUCAUAUUAUUAUUCUCUCCACUUUGCGUUUUUUCAGUGAAAAUCAAGUAUUUUUCGAUAUUUAAUCUAUUGAUCAUGUACUUAAAUCAUAAUGCUAAGAUUACAUUUGAAGGUUAUUAUAACAAAAACAGAGAAAAAAUCAGAAAAAAGUGACUUUUUCAGUAAAAUCUAUGAUUAACU